rnacentral:rRNA from 1 species
GUGCCAGCCGCCGCGGUAAUACCGGCAGCACAAGUGAUGGCCAAUCUUAUUGGGCCUAAAGCGUCCGUAGCUGGCCGAGCAGGUCCGUCGGGAAAUCCACGUGCUCAACGCGUGGGCGUCCGGCGGAAACCACUCGGCUUGGGGCCGGAGGACUCGAGGGGUACGUCCGGGGUAGGAGUGAAAUCCUGUAAUCCUGGACGGACCGCCGGUGGCGAAAGCACUUCGAGAAAACGGAUCCGACAGUGAGGGACGAAAGCCAGGGUCUCCAACCGGAUUAGAAACCCCAGUAGUCC